rnacentral:rRNA from 1 species
GACGAACCGUGCGAACGUUGUUCGGAAUCACUGGGCUUAAAGGGCGCGUAGGCGGUCUAGCCAGUCCGGGGUGAAAGCCUCCAGCUCAACUGGAGAAGUGCCUUGGAUACUGCUGGACUCGAGCGAGGUAGGGGUCGUGGGAACUUCCGGUGGAGCGGUGAAAUGCGUUGAUAUCGGAAGGAACGCCGGUGGCGAAAGCGCACGACUGGACCUCUUCUGACGCUGAGGCGCGAAAGCCAGGGGAGCAAACGGG